UUGAACGCUGGCGGCAUGCCUUACACAUGCAAGUCGAACGGCAGCACGGGAGCAAUCCUGGUGGCGAGUGGCGAACGGGUGAGUAAUAUAUCGGAACGUGCCCAGUCGUGGGGGAUAACGCAGCGAAAGCUGUGCUAAUACCGCAUACGAUCUCUGGAUGAAAGCGGGGGACCGUAAGGCCUCGCGCGAUUGGAGCGGCCGAUAUCAGAUUAGCUAGUUGGUGGGGUAAAAGCCCACCAAGGCGACGAUCUGUAGCUGGUCUGAGAGGACGACCAGCCACACUGGAACUGAGACACGGUCCAGACUCCUACGGGAGGCAGCAGUGGGGAAUUUUGGACAAUGGGCGCAAGCCUGAUCCAGCAAUGCCGCGUGCAGGAUGAAGGCCUUCGGGUUGUAAACUGCUUUUGUACGGAACGAAACGGCUCACUCUAAUACGGUGGGCUAAUGACGGUACCGUAAGAAUAAGCACCGGCUAACUACGU
rnacentral:rRNA from 1 species